CAGGCACGGUGUGGAGAUUUAUGUUGGGGGGUUCGGAUUGGUUCGUCCCCUCUACUACCAGCAUGGCGCUGGUGUGGGGGAGCUCUUUUGCCCCAGUGACCUAACAAUUUAUACUAUCGACGAAGCAUCCGCGAUCGCGACGGAAUGGGUGGACGUUGCCGGCGUCGCGUCUUUCGGAGGAACGGCGGCUAUUCCCACUACUUUACAGCUGUGGGGCAGCAUUCUCUGGAAGAGGGUGGUCCAAUAUACUGCUAUUUUUCUGACAUUUGUAUGGGUUAAUUGUAUACUUCAACCAAGUUUAUAAACAAAUAAUGAGCU
rnacentral:sRNA from 2 species